GGUUAAGCGACUAAGCGUACACGGUGGAUGCCCUGGCAGUCAGAGGCGAUGAAGGACGUGCUAAUCUGCGAUAAGCGUCGGUAAGGUGAUAUGAACCGUUAUAACCGGCGAUUUCCGAAUGGGGAAACCCAGUGUGUUUCGACACACUAUCAUUAACUGAAUCCAUAGGUUAAUGAGGCGAACCGGGGGAACUGAAACAUCUAAGUACCCCGAGGAAAAGAAAUCAACCGAGAUUCCCCCAGUAGCGGCGAGCGAACGGGGAGGAGCCCAGAGCCUGAAUCAGUGUGUGUGUUAGUGGAAGCGUCUGGAAAGGCGCGCGAUACAGGGUGACAGCCCCGUACACAAAAAUGCACAUGCUGUGAGCUCGAUGAGUAGGGCGGGACACGUGGUAUCCUGUCUGAAUAUGGGGGGACCAUCCUCCAAGGCUAAAUACUCCUGACUGACCGAUAGUGAACCAGUACCGUGAGGGAAAGGCGAAAAGAACCCCGGCGAGGGGAGUGAAAAAGAACCUGAAACCGUGUACGUACAAGCAGUGGGAGCACGCUUAGGCGUGUGACUGCGUACCUUUUGUAUAAUGGGUCAGCGACUUAUAUUCUGUAGCAAGGUUAACCGAAUAGGGGAGCCGAAGGGAAACCGAGUCUUAACUGGGCGUUAAGUUGCAGGGUAUAGACCCGAAACCCGGUGAUCUAGCCAUGGGCAGGUUGAAGGUUGGGUAACACUAACUGGAGGACCGAACCGACUAAUGUUGAAAAAUUAGCGGAUGACUUGUGGCUGGGGGUGAAAGGCCAAUCAAACCGGGAGAUAGCUGGUUCUCCCCGAAAGCUAUUUAGGUAGCGCCUCGUGAAUUCAUCUCCGGGGGUAGAGCACUGUUUCGGCAAGGGGGUCAUCCCGACUUACCAACCCGAUGCAAACUGCGAAUACCGGAGAAUGUUAUCACGGGAGACACACGGCGGGUGCUAACGUCCGUCGUGAAGAGGGAAACAACCCAGACCGCCAGCUAAGGUCCCAAAGUCAUGGUUAAGUGGGAAACGAUGUGGGAAGGCCCAGACAGCCAGGAUGUUGGCUUAGAAGCAGCCAUCAUUUAAAGAAAGCGUAAUAGCUCACUGGUCGAGUCGGCCUGCGCGGAAGAUGUAACGGGGCUAAACCAUGCACCGAAGCUGCGGCAGCGACGCUUAUGCGUUGUUGGGUA
rnacentral:rRNA from 1 species